UACAGAGGGGGCUAGCGUUGUUCGGAAUUACUGGGCGUAAAGGGCGCGUAGGUGGCCUGCUAAGUCGAACGUGAAAUCCCCGGGCUCAACCCGGGAACUGCGUCCGAGACUGGCAGGCUUGAAUCCGGGAGAGGGAUGUGGAAUUCCAGGUGUAGCGGUGAAGAUGCGCAGAUAUCAGGAGGAACACCGGUGGCGAAGGCGGAUCUCUGGGCCUGUCCUGACGCUCGAGGCGCGAAAGCUAGGGGAGCAAACAGG
rnacentral:rRNA from 1 species